CCUACGGGUGGCAGCAGUGGGGAAUAUUGCGCAAUGGGCGCAAGCCUGACCCAGCAACACCGCGUGAAGGAAGAAGGCUUUCGGGUUGUAAACUUCUUUUCUCAGGGACGAAGCAAGUGACGGUACCUGAGGAAUAAGCCACUCCUAACUACGUGCCAGCAGCCGCGGUAAUACGUAGGUGGCAAGCGUUAUCCGGAUUUACUGGGUGUAAGGGGCGUGUAGGCGGGAAAGCAAGUCAGAGGUGAAAACCAUGGGCUCAACCUGUGGCCUGCAUUUGAAACUGUUUUGCUGGAGUACUGGAGAGGCAGACGGAAUUCCUAGUGUAGCGGUGAAAUGCGUAGAUAUUAGGAGGAACACCAGUGGCGAAGGCGGUCUGCUGGACAGCAACUGACGCUGAGGCGCGAAAGCGUGGGGAGCAAACAGGAUUAGAUACCCCAGUAGUC
rnacentral:rRNA from 1 species